rnacentral:rRNA from 1 species
GGCUCAGGAUGAACGCUAGCGGCAGGCUUAACACAUGCAAGUCGAGGGGUAUAGUUCUUCGGAAUUAGAGACCGGCGCACGGGUGCGUAACGCGUAUGCAAUCUACCUUUCACAGAGGGAUAGCCCAGAGAAAUUUGGAUUAAUACCUCAUAGUAUAUAGAAGUGGCAUCACUUUUAUAUUAAAGUCACAACGGUGAAAGAUGAGCAUGCGUCCCAUUAGCUAGUUGGUAAGGUAACGGCUUACCAAGGCAACGAUGGGUAGGGGUCCUGAGAGGGAGAUCCCCCACACUGGUACUGAGACACGGACCAGACUCCUACGGGAGGCAGCAGUGAGGAAUAUUGGUCAAUGGACGCAAGUCUGAACCAGCCAUGCCGCGUGCAGGAUGACGGUCCUAUGGAUUGUAAACUGCUUUUGUACAGGAAGAAACAACUCUACGUGUAGAGUCUUGACGGUACUGUAAGAAUAAGGAUCGGCUAACUCCGUGCCAGCAGCCGCGGUAAUACGGAGGAUCCAAGCGUUAUCCGGAAUCAUUGGGUUUAAAGGGUCCGUAGGCGGUUUAGUAAGUCAGUGGUGAAAGCCCAUCGCUCAACGGUGGAACGGCCAUUGAUACUGCUAGACUUGAAUUAUUAGGAAGUAACUAGAAUAUGUAGUGUAGCGGUGAAAUGCUUAGAGAUUACAUGGAAUACCAAUUGCGAAGGCAGGUUACUACUAAUUGAUUGACGCUGAUGGACGAAAGCGU